rnacentral:rRNA from 1 species
UCMGCAGUCAUUUAGUCAAUGGCCUAACCGGCUGAACUGGCCAACUUGGAGAAGUGGCAAGUCUUCCAGUAUGGGGAGCAAAACAGCUAUGGGUCAAGUCCGAUAUCUUUAGGAGAAGUCUUAUUGUGAGGGCGAGUUAUAUAACACCAUAGGACUGGCCGUCCCAUAUGAAAAGAUUAUAUUAGAAUUGAAUGAAGCUUUGUUUAUAUAUUGAUAAUGACAGUAUAUAUAUCGUGUCUUGACUAAUUGCGUGCCAGCAGUCGCGGUAAUACGUAAGAGACUAGUGUUAUUCAUCUUAAUUAGGUUUAAAGGGUACCCAGACGGUCAAUAUAGCUUAUAAAAUGUUAGUACUUGACUAGAGUUUUAUGUAAGAGGGCAGUACUUGAGGAGGAGAGAUGAAAUUUCGUGAUACCAAAGGGACUCUGUAAAGGCGAAGGCAGCCCUCUAUGUAAAAACUGACGUUGAAGGACGAAGGCACAGAGAACAAACAGGAUUAGAUACCCAAGUAGUCUUUGCAGUAAAUGAUGAAUGCCAUAGGUUAGAUUGGUCAAUUAUAGUCUAGGGUUAGUCUAGCAAACUAAUACCCUAUGCUAUAAUCCUAAUAUCUGGUCUAUAAAUGAAAGUGUAAGCAUUUCACCUCAAGAGUAAUGUGGCAACGCAGGAACUGAAAUCACUAGACCGUUUCUGACACCAGUAGUGAAGUAUGUUAUUUAAUUCCGAUAAUCCGCA